ensembl:snRNA U6 U6 spliceosomal RNA
AUGCUCGCUUUGGCAGCACAUAUAUUAAAAUUGGAAUGAUACAGAAGAGAUGAGCAUGGCCCUGCACAAGGGAUACACUGGGAAAGAGGACACUGUCCCUGCCUGU